GCAGCAGCAGCAAUGUUUCACUUCUUCAGAAAGCCUCCGGAAUCUAAAAAGCCCUCAGUACCAGAGACAGAAGCAGAUGGAUUCGUCCUUUUAGAAGCAUCUCAGAGGCUCUCCAGUGACGUGCUGUUGAAAGUGCUGACCCUGGGUCAGACCCUUUGGGUUGGCUUCGUGGCUCCACGACUUACUCUCUACCCUUGGCAGGCAUGGAACUUCCUAAAUGUUUAGUCUCAGAGCAAGAACACUCAAGCUUUUCAUGUUCUUUGGCACUAGCAGCUGUAACACAUUGAAUUUCUGGCAGUGGAAUUUCUCCUCACAGGAUCUGACCCCUCACACCAUGGCCCUGAAUUAAAAAAAACAUUGCUUCUGAGCAUAUGCAACUCAGCAAGGAUCCUCAACAUCUUGCGUCCUAUGUAGACCUAGCAUCUUUAAUAUCUAUGUAUGUUGGG
rnacentral:lncRNA from 1 species